UACGUAGGGUGCGAGCGUUGUCCGGAAUUAUUGGGCGUAAAGAGCUCGUAGGCGGUUUGGUAAGUCGGGUGUGAAAUCUCCACGCUCAACGUGGAGGGGCCACUCGAUACUGCCCUGACUAGAGUCCGGUAGAGGAGUAUGGAAUUCCCGGUGUAGCGGUGAAAUGCGUAGAUAUCUGGAGGAAUACCGGUGGCGAAGGCGGCAUCCUGGACCGGCAUUCGACGCUGAUGAGCGAAAGCUAGGGAGCAACGGG
rnacentral:rRNA from 1 species